GACGAACGCUGGCGGCGUGCCUAACACAUGCAAGUCGCACGGGACCCGCAAGGGUUCAGUGGCGGACGGGUGCGUAACACGUGAGGAACAUGCCCAUCGGCGGGGGAUAGCCGGCCCAACGGCCGGGUAAUACCGCGUACGCUCAUUCGGGGACAUCCCCGGAUGAGGAAAGCAGCAAUGCACCGAUGGAGUGCCUCGCGGCCUAUCAGCUAGUUGGUGGGGUCAUGGCCCACCGAGGCGACGACGGGUAGCUGGUCUGAGAGGAUGAUCAGCCACAUUGGGACUGAGACACGGCCCAGACUCCUACGGGAGGCAGCAGUGGGGAAUCUUGCGCAAUGGCCGAAAGGCUGACGCAGCGACGCCGCGUGUGGGAUGACGGCCUCGG
rnacentral:rRNA from 1 species